rnacentral:lncRNA from 1 species
AAGGAGAAGGCCCAAACUGAACAAAUAUCAAAAUCCAAAGUAGGCACGAAUCAAUGAAACCUCUUCAACUCCGCCUAACGUCACCGGCGGUCAGGUUAGAAUAUUUCAUGGUCCUAUUUCGGCUGUCUAAUAUUCAAUAAAGCUCCUUUUCUAAACAACUUAGCACCAGAGAUUAACAUCACACAAAGAAGAGAGGAUUAUCAAUAAAGCAUCCACCCAUAAAUUUUUCAACACUCUCAGAGUAAUCAAAAACGCCUUCUUGGUUGCGUGCGAGAGGUAGAUUUGAAGAACUUGAUACCCCCAAUGUGAUUCUUCGUCAACAGAUUGAUCUAUCUUCUCAUAUUUCUCAGGUUGUCAC